rnacentral:rRNA from 1 species
UUGAAACACCGAUUCUCGUACGAUUAUCGAAGUUAAUCAACGCCGAGCCUGGCCAGUAUCUAGAUGGGUGACCACUUGGGAAUACCAGGUGCUAU